ACUUCUGGUGUGGGUGCGACUACAACGCUUCACCUGUUGUUCCUGUUGUCUUUUAUCCUGGUGGAGGCCUCAGUUGAACUUCCUUUCUCUGUUUGGGACUAAACUGACACUUGGCUUUCCAGGCAAUAGACAAAGGCCUGGAUUUACUUUCUCAAAGACAUAAGUAAAAGGAGGGUUAAAAUCUUUACCUUUUUCACUGUCUUCUUUAUUCAAACACAUUUAUCUGUGUGCAAGGAGGACCCAGGGGACAAGAGAAAUUAUAUUGCUGUUUCAGGUUAUAAAACAUGGAGAACCUGAGUUAAAGAUGGGAACUGUGCUGUCAUACUUUGGACAGUUGUGCGGACAUGGAAAUAAGGAAGAGAAGGAGAGAUGCUUGCGGGCUAAUGACAGAACUUUCAACCUAUCUUUCCGCUAUGCUAACAAUGCCAUCAAGACCUCCAAAUACAACAUCUUCACCUUCCUGCCACUUAAUCUUUUUGAGCAGUUCAGGAGGCUCGCUAAUGCCUACUUCCUCUUCCUGCUCAUC